rnacentral:rRNA from 1 species
UACGAAGGGGGCUAGCGUUGCUCGGAAUUACUGGGCGUAAAGGGAGCGUAGGCGGGUCUUUAAGUCAGGGGGGAAAUCCUGGAGCUCAACUCCAGAACUGCCUUUGAUACUGAGGAUCUUGAGUUCGGGAGAGGUGAGUGGAACUGCGAGUGUAGAGGUGAAAUUCGUAGAUAUUCGCAAGAACACCAGUGGCGAAGGCGGCUCACUGGCCCGAUACUGACGCUGAGGCACGAAAGCGUGGGGAGCAAACAGG